rnacentral:lncRNA from 1 species
AAGUUCUUAACAUGAUGUUGCAGUUGUAGUUGUUUUCAUAUUUACUAGCCUGUCUGCAAGGACAUUUUUCUCUUUGUAGAUAUAACCUACUAUGGAGCUAUGCACCUGCAUACAAAGGUACCUAUAAUCAUCAACAAAAGUGGUGAAUGUUAGAAUCUGCAGUUUUAAGCAUGUAAGUAACUUCCUGGGCAUCGAUAUUGGUUUCUAGUGUAUGAAAACCAUAUUGUAAGGUAGGAUAUAAUCCUUGCAUAAGAGCAUUUGACCUUUUUCAGAUCCUUGACCAGAUUUGAGAUCGAAUUUUCAAACGAAGUUAUUUAGCGACAAUGUGUUAAACUUUUCCAUCCGAUAAAAUAGUAUUAACUAAUAACUAAUGUGUUGCACUGUUAAUAUUUAUCAGGUGCUUGAUGUCGAUAUUGGACAAGAUCAAGUGCACAAACAUCAAUAAUACCUAGUAUUUCUGAAAAUACUCAAUCUUCACACGGUACUACUCGUAUUUAUCCUUUGGCGCUCUUUUACCUAUUGCAUUAAAUGUAUGGUUUUAUUUUUUAACACUCAUACACGCCUGGACCUCUUUAUUCUUAGUGUACUUCAGUUCAUUGCCAGUGAAUAAUGAUGAUUCUAUGAUAUUUAAGACCCUCAUUCAUGAUAAUGUUUGAAACAAAUAAAGACAAUUAGGAAAAAGAUAAUCUCUAUGAAAUAGUGAGUCCCUGUCUACUUGGUAGUCAUGGAAAAAUCUACAAAAGAAAUUAACAAAAAUAACACAAUGAAAAAAUAUAAUGACCACAACUGAGAAAAAGUAUAAAUUAAGUAUGACUGAAUUUUUCAUUACAACUUAUUGCAUUAUUUUCUUCUUUGAGAUGUUUGACUUUCAUAAUAUAAGAAAAAAUGAACUCCUAAACUUCCAGCUUGUUCUUUAAUUCUUCUAUUUGCUAAUUCAAUUUUAUUCAUAAGUAAAUGUAAUAAUUGAAAUAAUAUUAUAUAACAAUUUUAUGACUUAAAGAUUGCUUUAGUAGUGUUAAUUGGUGACAACUUUGGGUAUCGUAGAAGAUACCUGUUGCCUAGAUAUUAAUAGCUCAAACAUGCAUAAGUUGAGUAUAUUUAAUUGACUAAGAUGACUCCAAGUUCAAGUUACUAUACCAGUUAAUGAUAGUUGUUUGCUGUUUUACAAAAAUAUCCUCAAAUAUGUCAAAGACUAACCAUACACUAGUUACCUUCUUACCUGGAUAUGUUUAUUUGCUUAAACUUUAAUGUAUUUGAGCUUUCUGGGAAUAAUUUUGUUUUAAGUGUCCAUGUAAUUCUUGUUUAUUAAUAGUUGUGCUUUCUUGUGUUGCAUAUAAUUCUCUGUUUGCCUCUAAGUAUAGUGCUUCUAAUGUACUUGACAUUAAUUAGCAUGUUAUUCAUAACAAGCAAGAGUGCUUGACCAACUACCUUCAUCUUAAUCUCCAUAAUUUAGAUUAACAUCUCUUACUGGGUAAGAGAGCUUUUAAUUGGGUAGUUUUUAUCUCUAUUGCAAUUAAAUCAUUUCACCUUCUUCAGUUACUCCCGUGAGAGCUAAUUUGAUCUCUAUUUCUGUAUUUUUUUUAUGGGUCAAUCAAUACUUUGUUCGCAUUGAAUGUCUUAGCUUGUUUCUUUAAACUGCCAUCAGGUUAUGUUGCAUCACCUUUAAAAAUAUAUGUUUAUGAAUAUUCAACAUAAAAAAGAAUGCACUUUCGUCCUUGAUUUGUACAAUUACAUAUGUAGUUUUGUUAUUCUUUUCAAGAAUAAGUUAAUAAGAACUUUCAUUUUGUAUGAGAUGAUUGAUGCAUGAUUUUCUUUCCACUUUGAGUUAUUUGAGAACAUACUAAGUCCAUCUACCUUCAAUGUGAUUGCAUUUGGGAUGAUGCUAAUAAUAUUGAUUUAUCAGUGCAUUUUCGUUAGAAGUAUUUAUAGAAUUUAGAUUUGUGUAAAUCUAGGAAAUGAAAAAUUAUUUAAUUGUGUAGACUUGUGAUGUAUUUUUACUUUAUAUUCAUCUAUUGACACAUUUAUAUUAUUUUUUCAGGUUAUAUAUCCUAUUUGAAAUUUAGCAAUCGGAAGAUAUCAAUAUGAUGAAGAGUCGCGAAAAUUAUUUGAAGAUUACUAUUUCUGUUUUUUUUGAUAGGGUUGAUUAUAUAAUGACAUUAGUUAUUUAGUUUAUACAAUUUCAUUUUCUUAAGUUGUUACAUUUUGUUGACACCCAAUUUUGGACCUCCACAUUAUAGAUUAAUCAUCGAGCUUCUUCAAUCUCAAACAAUUUAAAAUAAUUAGUUUUAUAAAAUUAAAA